rnacentral:rRNA from 1 species
CAAUAGCGUAUAUUAAAGUUGUUGCGGUUAAAAAGCUCGUAGUUGGAUCUCGGCAGGCAGGGGGUGGUUCGCUCUUAGCGCUACUGCCCCAUUUGCCUGUGUGAUUGGCGGAGGUUUCGGGGUGCUCUUCGUUGAGUGACCCGGGGCGCCGUCAGGUUUACUUUGAAAAAAUUAGAGUGCUCAAAGCAGGCUUUUCACGCUUGAAUAUUCGUGCAUGGAAUAAUGGAAUAGGAACUCGUUUCUAUUUUGUUGGUUUUCGGAAAUCGAGUUAAUGAUUAAUAGGGACAAUUGGGGGCAUUAGUAUUCAGACGACAGAGGUGAAAUUCUUGGACCGUCUGAAGACUAACUACUGCGAAAGCAUUUGCCAAGAGUGUUUUCAUUAAU